ensembl:lncRNA LINC01619 long intergenic non-protein coding RNA 1619
AUACAAAAGUGUUGAUUUGUGACUGAUUGGAAAUUUAAGAAAAAGAAAACCUGGCCUUUUCCACUGGAAUAGAGUCGGGUGUUUUGUAAUGGGAUUUUGUUGUAUUGGUGACUUAGUAAGACAUAUUCACGUGGCUUCAGAUGGAAACAUCUGGGGGCCCAUCAGGUGGGAGUGACAAACAUGUCCUGAGAUUGCAAUUGACCUGGGAAGGUUGAUGAGCAUGCACAUUAAUAACGUCACACAAAUGGAUUUUCUAUGCAGAUGGGUGGGCCAGCCACAGUUCACUUAUCAGCUAAUACAGUUGUAAUGUGUUGCUUCAUAUCUGAGAGAAGGCAGCACCUUAGGAUAUUAUGUGUGUCUCACUUACAUAUAUAAAUGAAUUCCCUUUUGAGGUAGAUGUAUUUUAGUCAAUAAGUCAUCUUCUCUCAAUAGUAAGCCAACAACUUUCCUGGAAAUCUAGCAAAACAACAGUUCUAUGACCAGCCUUAUGUUUUGUUGCAUGUGUGCAUAAAAAAUGCAGAUUGACUCUUUCCUUUUCUGUUUUAGAAUUGGUUCCAAACAGUAAAGCCGCCAGAAAAAACAGACAAACUCUUAGGAACAACAAUGCCCAUUAUGUGUGGAGUAGAAGCUGCCAGACUUUGAUUACUGGCCAGAGAUUAACCCCUUUGGUGUCUUAGGGGGGAAAAUGCCAAGUCUGAAUCCAGACAUUUCCAGGAUUUUACAGUCAUUCAUGGUAUGAGACCAGGCGAUUUAUAAUGACUUGUGCAAAAAAAAAAAGACUAUUGGGAGAAGGAAGUGCAAGUCAAAGGCCACGGCUCCUUGCUUCCUGAAUUCUGCCAUGACUAAUUCCAGCAAGCGGACAUAGACCUGAUCACCUCUGCUUUUCCCUUUGCUAGCCUGCCUGGUCAUGGAUGAGAAGCACGCUGCUCUUGCUACCUUCAUGUGGUGGUUUGGGUCCUGAAACAUCCACCUAUUUUCAGAAUAAACUAAAAUAAUUUCUUAAUUUCUUGAGGGCACAUUUGCAUUAUUUGUAAAAUUUAAACAAUGUUACCUAACCCAGGGCUACAGUGGGAGAGUAGAGAGGGAUUGACACAUAGAAGUUGGUCAGUAAAUGUUAGCUAUCAUCGUCAUCAUUAUCAUCAUUAUCAACAUCAUCAUCCAAGGGUUGAAUGAUGUUUUUGUGUUUUUGUCCAGGUGUCAGAAGGAGGCUGGCAAAUUUGGCACUCACAGAGGGAAACCUAUGUGCUUCGUGAGGUCAUUGCUUAGAGUACAACUGCUACCAAGAACAUUCCCUGCAAACUCUUUUGUGAUCAGUUUCUUCCCUUCUCUCAUAUACCCUCUGCAGGUCUACCAAUUGCAUUUUGAGAGCUCAGAUAAGCAGAGAGCAAUGCAAUUUGUCACAGAAGGAUGAUUAUGUAUAUGCACUGUCAUGUCUAUUUCCAUGCCUAACUCAAAGGAGACACAAGGAGAAAGUGAGCUCAGCCUGGAUAAAUUGGAGAUUGUGAUGACUUCUAGGAAGCCUCAGGAAAGAGAAACAAAGACAACACUGGCCUGCUGCUCUCUGCAAUGGUGGGACCCUUGUGGGAUAACUGUUUUAGGAAUGAAGGUGUCUACCCUCUCUAGAAAUGAAAAUGCAAGUUUGGCUGUGGUUAAGUAUUGGAUGGAGGCAAAAAGAAACUGACAUAUUUUCUUCUUUUCAAUUGUUUGAUUCACCCUGAAGGGCAUGGCUGCUUAAUUUUUUUCUCCAGAGAUAGGUGGACAGAUAAAGACAGGAAAGUAACAUCCACAGACUGCCCUCUGUGAAGGUGACAGUGAUGAAAGGAAUGCUUGAUCUGAACACUGGUAAAUAAAGUGACCGCAUAUUUCCCUAGCCAGGAGAGCAAUCUGGCUCAAAAGAAACGAGAACAAUGACAUUACUGCCAGGCUGCUCCUAAGCCUUUGGCUAUUCUGUUCAGUGCACAAAAAAAAGCAGUGAACAUAGCUGUGACCUGCCUUGUUGGUAGUAUCACAAUUCUUUGGGGCUCCACUUUAAGAAAUUGAGACCUACCUACCUUAAUCCUUGGGGGGUUAAGCUUUCAGACUGGAAUGAUAACUGAACUAUUCAUUUGCAGUAAUUCUGGGUUUUGUGCAUAUUUUAAAAAGGAAUACCGGGCUUGCCUAUAUUCAUUACAACGUCCUCCCAGCUUUCAAAUCUUCCAAUACAAUGCCUCUUCUCUAGUCUUUUAAGCACAUCCUGUGACUGGAUAUGAUUAUGGGAGAUUUACAUGCAUCCUUGUCUAUUGUAUCAAAAGAUCAGGGAAUAAAAUGCCCAUCAUUAAAACCCCAAAGUGAUUGGAUUGGCAUGAGGAAUGGGGAUGGGGCUGGCAUGGAAGAGAGGGUUCUGACUCUGAGAUUUCAUGAAAUGCAAAACAAUAGGACAGCUGCUCUUCCAUAAACAGAUUAUUAUUAUUAUUUCUACCUAGACAGCUUGAUAGCAGCCAUUAUCUUCUUUCUGGGUGUCUUAUCAAGUUCCGGCUGUGUGCAGCAUGGGUGAUAAGGAAAGAGAAAUGUCACCCAUGGGAUUGCCAAGGAUUAUUUCUAUGCACUGCUGUUCAGCAACAGCCAAUCUCUCAGAACUGAGAAGAAGUCCUAUUGUUCACGCUGGGCAGUUGCUAUUCUGACUAUCCCAAGAGAGCAGAAAAGGGAUGUAGUUGCCAUUGUGCAAAAGAUUGAUAUUUCAUUACUCUCAGCUAAAGUUCUGAAAAGCAGAAUCAUCAUGAAAUAUCUUUGAAGAGAGAAAAGACAAGGGAAGAAAAGAAGAACGAAAUGAGUUCAGAGCUUUUUAGAACUGUGAGGGAGUGCGAAAAAAGAAAGGUGUAAUACUUUCAAACAGUGGAAGUUAAAAUGCCAGGCGUGUAAGCCUCAGUGAAAUUGAGCAGCAUCACGUCACCACGACUUGUGGUCCAGCUGUUUAUUGCAAAGACUCCAUCCUGCGUUACUCAUCAGAAAAUAGUUAACUUUGUAUCUG